CAAGUUAUAUUCUAGGAAUGGCGUUAUUUACAUUAAUGUUUUGGCUUUGUGCGAUUCGGCCUGGCUUGA
rnacentral:tRNA from 1 species